AACGAACGCUAUCGGUAUGCUUAACACAUGCAGGUCGGACGGACUAAUUAGGGCUUGCUCCAAUUAGUUAGUGGCAGACGGGUGAGUAACACGUGGGAAUCUGCCCAUCAGUACGGAAUAACUUUUAGAAAUAAAAGCUAAUACCGUAUAUUCUCUACAGAGGAAAGAUUUAUCGCUGAUGGAUGAGCCCGCGUCAGAUUAGGUAGUUGGUGAGGUAACGGCUCACCAAGCCGACGAUCUGUAGCUGGUCUGAGAGGAUGAUCAGCCACACUGGGACUGAGACACGGCCCAGACUCCUACGGGAGGCAGCAGUGGGGAAUAUUGGACAAUGGGCGAAAGCCUGAUCCAGCAAUACCGAGUGAGUGAUAAAGGCCCUAGGGUUGUAAAGCUCUUUUAGCAAGGAAGAUAAUGACGUUACUUGCAGAAAAAGCCCCGGCUAACUCCGUG
rnacentral:rRNA from 1 species